GUAGUAUUCCCUCCGUCCCAAAAUUCUUGUCUUACAUUUGUUUAGAUACAGAUGUAUCUAACACUAAAAUGUAACUAGAUACAUCCGUAUUUAGACAAAUUUAAGACAAGAAUUUUGGGAAGGAGGGAGUACAAA
rnacentral:pre_miRNA from 1 species